rnacentral:rRNA from 1 species
CCUACGGGAGGCAGCAGUAGGGAAUCUUCCGCAAUGGACGAAAGUCUGACGGAGCAACGCCGCGUGAGUGAAGAAGGUUUUCGGAUCGUAAAACUCUGUUGUUAAAGAAGAACAAGGAUGAGAGUAACUGCUCAUCCCCUGACGGUAUUUAACCAGAAAGCCACGGCUAACUACGUGCCAGCAGCCGCGGUAAUACGUAGGUGGCAAGCGUUGUCCGGAUUUAUUGGGCGUAAAGCGAGCGCAGGCGGUUCUUUAAGUCUGAUGUGAAAGCCCCCGGCUCAACCGGGGAGGGUCAUUGGAAACUGGAGAACUUGAGUGCAGAAGAGGAGAGUGGAAUUCCACGUGUAGCGGUGAAAUGCGUAGAUAUGUGGAGGAACACCAGUGGCGAAGGCGACUCUCUGGUCUGUAACUGACGCUGAGGCUCGAAAGCGUGGGGAGCAAACAGGAUUAGAUACCCUGGUAGUCCACGUCGUAAACGAUGAGUGCUAAGUGUUGGAGGGUUUCCGCCCUUCAGUGCUGCAGCUAACGCAUUAAGCACUCCGCCUGGGGAGUACGGCCGCAAGGCUGAAACUCAAAUGAAUUGACGG